rnacentral:rRNA from 1 species
GCUUGGUGGAUGGCUUGGCUUGAUAUCCGAAGAAGUACGUGGCAAGCUGCGAUAAGUCCUGGCGAGGUGCAUGCAGCCGCAGAACCAGGAAUUUAUGAAUUAUUCCUUUUUAGGAAUGGGAACGCGGGGAAUUGAAACAUCUUAGUACCCGCAGGAAAAGAAAUCAAUA